GUGACUGCGUACCUUUUGUAUAAUGGGUCAGCGACUUAUAUUCUGUAGCAAGGUUAACCGAAUAGGGGAGCCGAAGGGAAACCGAGUCUUAACUGGGCGUUAAGUUGCAGGGUAUAGACCCGAAACCCGGUGAUCUAGCCAUGGGCAGGUUGAAGGUUGGGUAACACUAACUGGAGGACCGAACCGACUAAUGUUGAAAAAUUAGCGGAUGACUUGUGGCUGGGGGUGAAAGGCCAAUCAAACCGGGAGAUAGCUGGUUCUCCCCGAAAGCUAUUUAGGUAGCGCCUCGUGAAUUCAUCUCCGGGGGUAGAGCACUGUUUCGGCAAGGGGGUCAUCCCGACUUACCAACCCGAUGCAAACUGCGAAUACCGGAGAAUGUUAUCACGGGAGACACACGGCGGGUGCUAACGUCCGUCGUGAAGAGGGAAACAACCCAGACCGCCAGCUAAGGUCCCAAAGUCAUGGUUAAGUGGGAAACGAUGUGGGAAGGCCCAGACAGCCAGGAUGUUGGCUUAGAAGCAGCCAUCAUUUAAAGAAAGCGUAAUAGCUCACUGGUCGAGUCGGCCUGCGCGGAAGAUGUAACGGGGCUAAACCAUGCACCGAAGCUGCGGCAGCGACGCUUAUGCGUUGUUGGGUAGGGGAGCGUUCUGUAAGCCUGUGAAGGUGUGCUGUGAGGCAUGCUGGAGGUAUCAGAAGUGCGAAUGCUGACAUAAGUAACGAUAAAGCGGGUGAAAAGCCCGCUCGCCGGAAGACCAAGGGUUCCUGUCCAACGUUAAUCGGGGCAGGGUGAGUCGACCCCUAAGGCGAGGCCGAAAGGCGUAGUCGAUGGGAAACAGGUUAAUAUUCCUGUACUUGGUGUUACUGCGAAGGGGGGACGGAGAAGGCUAUGUUGGCCGGGCGACGGUUGUCCCGGUUUAAGCGUGUAGGCUGGUUUUCCAGGCAAAUCCGGAAAAUCAAGGCUGAGGCGUGAUGACGAGGCACUACGGUGCUGAAGCAACAAAUGCCCUGCUUCCAGGAAAAGCCUCUAAGCAUCAGGUAACAUCAAAUCGUACCCCAAACCGACACAGGUGGUCAGGUAGAGAAUACCAAGGCGCUUGAGAGAACUCGGGUGAAGGAACUAGGCAAAAUGGUGCCGUAACUUCGGGAGAAGGCACGCUGAUAUGUAGGUGAAGUCCCUCGCGGAUGGAGCUGAAAUCAGUCGAAGAUACCAGCUGGCUGCAACUGUUUAUUAAAAACACAGCACUGUGCAAACACGAAAGUGGACGUAUACGGUGUGACGCCUGCCCGGUGCCGGAAGGUUAAUUGAUGGGGUUAGCGGUAACGCGAAGCUCUUGAUCGAAGCCCCGGUAAACGGCGGCCGUAACUAUAACGGUCCUAAGGUAGCGAAAUUCCUUGUCGGGUAAGUUCCGACCUGCACGAAUGGCGUAAUGAUGGCCAGGCUGUCUCCACCCGAGACUCAGUGAAAUUGAACUCGCUGUGAAGAUGCAGUGUACCCGCGGCAAGACGGAAAGACCCCGUGAACCUUUACUAUAGCUUGACACUGAACAUUGAGCCUUGAUGUGUAGGAUAGGUGGGAGGCUUUGAAGUGUGGACGCCAGUCUGCAUGGAGCCGGCCUUGAAAUACCACCCUUUAAUGUUUGAUGUUCUAACGUUGGCCCCUGAUCGGGGUUGCGGACAGUGUCUGGUGGGUAGUUUGACUGGGGCGGUCUCCUCCUAAAGAGUAACGGAGGAGCACGAAGGUUGGCUAAUCCUGGUCGGACAUCAGGAGGUUAGUGCAAUGGCAUAAGCCAGCUUGACUGCGAGCGUGACGGCGCGAGCAGGUGCGAAAGCAGGUCAUAGUGAUCCGGUGGUUCUGAAUGGAAGGGCCAUCGCUCAACGGAUAAAAGGUACUCCGGGGAUAACAGGCUGAUACCGCCCAAGAGUUCAUAUCGACGGCGGUGUUUGGCACCUCGAUGUCGGCUCAUCACAUCCUGGGGCUGAAGUAGGUCCCAAGGGUAUGGCUGUUCGCCAUUUAAAGUGGUACGCGAGCUGGGUUUAGAACGUCGUGAGACAGUUCGGUCCCUAUCUGCCGUGGGCGCUGGAGAACUGAGGGGGGCUGCUCCUAGUACGAGAGGACCGGAGUGGACGCAUCACUGGUGUUCGGGUUGUCAUGCCAAUGGCACUGCCCGGUAGCUAAAUGCGGAAGAGAUAAGUGCUGAAAGCAUCUAAGCACGAAACUUGCCCCGAGAUGAGUUCUCCCUGACUCCUUGAGAGUCCUGAAGGAACGUUGAAGACGACGACGUUGAUAGGCCGGGUGUGUAAGCGCAGCGAUGCGUUGAGCUAACCGGUACUAAUGAACCGUGAGGCUUAACCUU
rnacentral:rRNA from 3 species